GCAAACGUCGUAAACGUAAACGCGUCAUCGUUUUACUAGAUGGCGGUGGAUGGCAGUGAAUUUCUAACUGAGACGACACAAAUACAUUUACAUAAAAGUCUGGAUUUCACCCAUGUAACUACAAACUACCGCUGUUUCCUAUUGAACACGAUUGAAUUUUACCUUACAAAAAGUGCAUUUGGUGUUUACAAUUCCACUAUCAAAAGUAGUAUUUAUUAAGUAAUUAUCUGACUAUCGUAGUCUUUAAACAAAGGAUUCGUAGAUAGAAUUAGUUUUUCCUACUUGCACAAUGGUUAGUAAGCGGCGUUGAUGCUCACAACGUUGGUGUAGAUUGGUUAUAUUCACACACUAUUCUUCUUGUUCAACCUGCAAACAGACCUGAAACUAGGACAUACUCAGAUUAUGAAAGUGUCAAUGAGUGCAUGGAAGGCGUAUGUAAAAUAUACGAAGAGUAUCUAAAGAGGCAAAAUCCAAACACACC